CCCUCGUCUCUCUCUCAAACUAGAAAACAAAACACAAGUUGGCUCUCUUCGUUUAACAGCCCUUGUCCUCCUCCAGCGUGUUCUCCUCUAGCGCCGCCACCGACGUUUCCCGUUCUCCUCCUUCCGUGCCGCCGCCUACGUGGCAUCUCUGAGCUCGUCCGUCCUUCUCGUUCAGUGCCGCGUGUUCUCUUCCAUCAGCACCUUUUAUUAUUUGAUUUCCCUAUUUUUCUAUUUUCACGUAUGGUCCUCUCUUUCAAAUAUAUAUGCUUUGUUUUUGUUUUUGUUAUAUUUUGUGCUUUGAGGUAUCAGACAUCUACUAGGGCUCUGUUUGUUUAGAUGGAAAACUAAAAUGUUGCCUGUUAAUUAGGUAAAUUGUCGUAAACAGAUAUUUCUCCCUCAAUCUAUUGAAUAGGCGUGGCAAUGGUCUGUUUGGCAUUAUCCUUAAGAACUGAUUCUGUUUUCAAUGAUAAAAAAUACUAUGGCGUGGAAAAAAAAUAUUUUUCCUGGCAUUUUGGGAGACUGUUUUCCAAAUGAUUUCUUAAAAAACGAGGCAUCUUAUUUGCUCAAACUGUAAAAAGAAUGAUUUUUCUAAUUUGCAAGUAUAUACAAAUAAGCAUUGUAGGCUGGAUAGAGUUUUUGAUUAGGUGAUUUGAAUUAGAGCAAACUAUUUUUUGAACAUGAUCCUUCAUAGGAUUUUUUAGUAUUUUUCUUUUCUAUUGUUGGUUCUUGUAGGAUUAUGUAGGUAUCCCCCUCUUUUUUUUGUGUGUGUUAUUAUUUACAUAAUAACAUACCUAUAGCUUGAGAACAUUUCAAGGAAUUUUUGGCAUGCUUAGAGACCAUAUUGUUAGAAGGCAUCUUAAUCUCUAUGAUAGAAACAGUUGGAAGAUUUUGUAGGUAUCCCAUUUUUUUAAAUCUUAUUAUUUACAUAAUAACACAAAUGUGCUUGAGAACAUUUCAAGGAAUUUGUGGCACAUUUAGGGAAGAUAUUGUUAGAAUCUAUUCCAUCUUAACCUUUCUGGUAGAGACACUUGCAAUAAUUUGGAAAGAUAAACUUAAAUUAUUGAGUCUGAAUUGUUUGAAAAAGAGGAGUGUUGGAAGGAGGUUUAUGCAAAACUGAUUGAAGCCACAAUCAGUAAUUUGAUUUCACAUCUUAUAGUGGAUGACUGGAUGGUAUGGCCACGGAAAAGGAAGUAACUAUAUGACAGGAUUCACUGAGAGAACCAAAUAGUUGGAAGAACUCAAUACUCAUGUUGGAUUCUGGCAACAAUGAAUAGUAUUUCGAAAGAGCAGAGGUUGUCUUGGAUGCUGUACUAAGCCCCCUUUGAUAAUUGCUGCUGACAAGCCAUCCAAGAGACUGAGAAUUCGAGGCCGAACAGUCAAGAAAUCAAGCAUUUCAGAGGAUUUUUGGAGCACUAGCACUUGUGAGAUGGACAAUAGUAUUGUUCAGUCCCAGAGAAGUGGAUCAUCAAUGAGCACAUCAAAUCCACCCUUAGAUCCCCACAACAGUGCUGGAAGCACAAGUCUUGUUCUUUGGAUUCAGACAAGACAUCAAUGGAUUGGAAAUAAAAGGUCUCAAAACCGUACAUAAGUUCCCAAACCCAAACUAAGGAGGAAAUUACAGCACAGAAACAUGAAAUUCAAGCACAAAAAGAGGAAAUUCAAGCACAAAAUAAUGUGAUAGUGAAGAUGAAUGACUCGAGUGAGGAGCAUUUGGAGAUGACGUCAAGCAUCAUGGAGUUUCUUAAGAAACAAGGUUUCAACAGACAAUUUAGGGGAGGAGGCAUCCCAUGAACUCGUAGAUCGCCUUUUUGAUUGAUUUUUGAUGACAUUUGGAAGCAAACUUGCAAAUCAAGAUCAAGUGUUAAUUUUUUUUUGUGGACUGAUACUUAGUUCUACUUGCAACUCAAGAUCAAGUGUUGAUUUUUUUGUGGACUGAUACUUAGUUCAUUUUGGGAUUUGCUGUGAUUUGGUCUUUGUUAUAGUUAAGGAAUUGUUAUUAAAUUUGUUUGAUGGAUAUAUUUUGAUUUAUAAUAUAAUUGUUUAGCGAAUUUUUUGUGUGGAGCGGUGUAUAGUAGUUAGUGGAUUUCUUUGUACAUUUAGAAGGUUAUUGGGAUAUGAGCAAGGGUAUUUGUAAAAUAAUAAUUUAAAUUGAAAUA